rnacentral:rRNA from 1 species
UACAGAGACCUCAAACGUUAUCCGGAUUUAUUGGGUGUAAAGAGCUAAAAGGUGGUUUAGUAAGUUGAGCAUAAAAGCUCGGGGCUCAACCCCGAAUCUAUGCUCAAAACUCCUAGACUAGAGGAUGGGAGAGGUAAGUGGAAUGGCUAGUGUAGCAGUAAAAUGCGUUAAUAUUAGCCAGAACACCACAGGCGAAGGCAGCUUACUGGAACAUUCCUGACACUAUAUAGCGAAAGCGUGGGGAGCGAAUGGGAUUAGAUACCCCAGUAGUCCACGCCGUAAACGAUGAAUGCUAGGUAUUGCGGGGUCGGCCCCUGCAGUAUCGUUCUUCAAGCUAACGCGUUAAGCAUUCCACCUGGGGAGUACGGCCGCAAGGCUAAA